rnacentral:lncRNA from 1 species
AGAGCUAGCUGCGGGGCUGGGGAAUCCGCGGCCACCGCCUCUAAUCCGCCCUUAAGUAGUCUCCGCCUGCGUCACGCCAGGUCGGCGGAGGGGAGCAGAGCGCGGCGUGCCGCUGUCGCCGAGCGUCGGAGCCCGAGGGGCCGCGGCCGCGCGCCGCGGGGGGAGGAGAUGGUCUGGAGUCCCCCCGCUGCGCCGGGGAUGGGGAGACGGAGGACUGCAGCGCCCCUUGGGGCUUCUGAGGCGCCCAGGUAACCUCACCUGGCCGCCAGUCUCCCGCAGGAGGAACAGACACGUUGGUUCCACACCGAACCUAUUAACAGCUCAACUUCAAAUAUUUGGCAGAGGUGGGAUUGCUGUUCACUAAGUGGCAUGCUUUAGUGUGGAUCAACUGCUUUAUCAUUGGAGCUAGAAACAGAAGGCCGUCUCAGUUAAAAGCAAAUCCUGCUUGCCUCUGUUCCGGGACUGACCUGCGGUGGGUCACUUUGGAUGGUUUCCUUCUCGUCUUCACUGGCCUGUUCUGGUGUUUGCUCCUAGGAUUUGUCUCGUGGAUCUUGACUGAUAUGAGAUGCUGAUAUUUUGCUCCUUCUCUAGUUCUCUUUUAUUUCUUUGCUCUUCUUUCUUGGAAAUUUCCUCAUUUUUUUCUUCUACUUUUGUUGCAUUAAUUUUUUUUUCUGUAAUCAUACUGUUAACAUCUAAGAAUUUAUUUGCGUUG